rnacentral:lncRNA from 1 species
GGCAACCAAACAAAAAUUCCAAGGCAAAGUAGUCAUGAUUACAAAGAGCCUAGGAAAUCUACUAACUGAUCUACUUCAUAUAUACCCUCUUCUUUACACCAAAAAUAUAGCGUAUUAAUGCAGUUUUCUUUAACUUUCUGCAUUGGGUUAGUAAUAUUGUUAAAGCACCUAUUGUUUCUUUCCUUCCAAAUUGACCACCAUAUGCAAGAUGGAACUAGAUUCCACCAUUUUUUCUGUGUUUUACUCCCCCCUCUUCUCAUCCAACAAUUUAGUAGGUCAGCAGUAUGCUCAAACACCACCCAAGGAUCUUGAAUAAUGCUUUGAAACAUAUACCAUAUCUGGGCAGUCACUCUACAGCGAAGGAACAAAUGAUUGUUUGUUUCCUCCUUCUCGUGGCAAAAGAAGCACCUAGAAACAAUCUGAAAUCCUCUUUUUUUCAGUCUCUCCUGAGUCAGACAUGCUCUUCUGCACACUAACCAUGUGAAACACUUUAUCUUGGUUGGGGUGUUGGAUUUCCAAAUUUGUUUCCAAGGUCCCAAUUUAGUAGGUCAGCAGUAUGCUCAGGCACCACCCAAGGAUCUUGAAUAAUGCUUUGAAGCAUAUACCAUAUCUGGGAAGUCACUCUACAGUGAAGGAACAAAUGAUUGUUUGUUUCCUCCUUCUCAUGGCAAAAGAAGCACCUAGAAACAAUCUGAAAUCCUCUUUUUUUCAGUCUCUCCUGAGUCAGGCAUUUUUUCAGAUGUAAAUGGCAGAUCCACACGUUCACUUAUAUGAAAUAACUUCAGUAUUGCCACAUUAUCUGUCUGAGCAGCUAUUUUUAGAUAUUCUUGAUUAUAUAUAUUCCCAAAUUUGGACAUACCUACUUGUUUACUGGUUUGAAUAGUUUGCUUA